AUCUGCGCAAACAAUUUACGGUGCUAGGCGGUUACGCGGACAAUAGUAUAAUGGACAAGGGUCAACCAUGUACAGGCAAAACUUGUACACCUAAAUUAUGUACAGUUAAAAGAGGGACAGCAGAAUACAUGGACAGGGCGAUAAUAGAGACACUAUGUUUGUAUGUAAGUAGACAUUUAACUAAUUUAGACCCGAGUACAACCCAAAGUCAAGUGUUCGGAAAUAUUGGAAGCCUAGCAAUUCUGCAUGUCCAGGUAGAUUGAACCAAGAUAACGCCCUAAAUAACUUUCCUGGACAAAAUUUCUCUACACAGAAGUAUUCAGCGUUGGAGGCAGCCUCUUAAUUCUACAAAUCCUAAAAGUCGGAAAGAAAUUGUUCUCACUGAAUCCCAAACCAAUGACUUACGGGAUAUGUCUGUAUAAAGACUCUGGCGAUGCCCGGCGAACUUUAAUAUUUACAACUCCGCAAAAUAUUCAAAACACUUGGUGCAUUGACGGACUUUCUAAUAAUUGCAAUUAAUUUUUGGGAGAAUUAUGCAACAGGAAGUGUUUCCACUGGCACGAUUGAAACGGUGCUUAUUUCAUCUUGGGCAAUCUUUCCACAGAAAUUACUCAUCAGAAAUGAUAAAGAAAUACAAAGAUGACAAUGAAUUCCCUAAAUACCUUAAAAAAUUCAUUAAUAUGUAUAAUAUAGGUCGAGGUUUUGUCCUUGUACACAUUUAGUUUGUACACUUUUUUUUCGUCCUCUAAAUUUACAUCCAUGUUUUCGCCCGUCCAUUCUUUCUCCUGUACACGUUUCUAUUGUCCACGCAACAACCGGAUACCACAAUUUACAUAUAUGCACAUGUCAAAAGGCCAAAAUAUUUCAUCAUUGGACUGACAAAGCAAUUUCCCAGGCUUGGGACAAUAGCUAUUCAACGUGUUGAUGACAAUUGUGGGCGUUCCAACUUCAUUCUCGAGCUGAUCAGCCGC